AAAUGAUCAUGCGCUGGUAUCUUCAGCCUUCCAGUUACCAUUCAGUCGAUUUCAUUUAUGGAAAAAGGAGGUCCAAAAGGAACUGAUACUCAAAGACAAACGCUGAGAACAAACGACGAAGAGUCAAUUUCUAAGCCACCUGAGUAUGAAGAUAUAGAUCAAGACGAUCUCCUUUCGGAGGAGAGGAUAAGUCUCAAUGAUGUUGCUUUAAUAGGACUGAUUUUGGGAUUAGUGUCAACAGUCUCUGCCGCAUUUACUUUGCUGUACAUCUGUUACUGUGGGAACAAACGAAAAAAGAAAACAGCUUUAUGCAAUAAUCGUCAAAAACAAGAAAAGGACGACAAUGAGGAUUCGCCAAUGGAUCAACAAUGUUCACGCUCCGCUGUGGGGUCUCAAGUAUCAACAAAAAUAGCCAAAUACUCGAGUGGAGAAUGUAAGAUGAACAAAAGCGAAGGUUGUGUGACACAAUAUCAGGCAUCUGACCCAAACUCUCUUCUUCGCACAGGCGGACAAGAUGUUCAAAAAACAAAUACGAUAACAGACUAUGGAGAAAAUACUGGUGAAGCCGGGCCACAGUAUGAAGAGGUCCAUGAAAAUCUUCAGUGGAACACUGCCAUAAUACCUGAAGUUGAAGCCAUAGCUUACCGUAUGAAUAUGGAAGAAAUUCAGCCGACCAAUGAUGUAAUUGCCCAAUGCACAAGUGGUACUCCCAAUGGAUUGGGGCACAGAGUUGAUGAUAGGAAAUUUAGUCACUCUUUGAUUAUGAAUCGACACCAAUCAGGAUAUAAAAAAAUACCAAUGACUGAACUAAAUUCAAGUACAGAGAGGAAAGAAGGCUAUGGAGACUAUGACGAGCAAAAACAGAGUCUGAAUGUAACUACGCAGCAGAAAAUUGGUGACAGUUUGAUGGAUAGUAAAAAGCCUCAAAACCUCAAUUUUACUCCAGAAAAUGCAAAAUCGGGUCUGCCACUGAGUUAUGCUCAACAAAAAUAUUCAAAAGGUCAAGUCCCACUGAUGGAUCCACAUUUCCCAUGUGAUGUGCAACAACAAUCAAGGCCGUACAUGCAACAAAUUUCAGCAUCGUUGCAACCAACAGCUGAACAAUCGCAACUGCUGCAGCUACAAAAAGAUCUUCAGGCAGUACAACAAGAAAGUAAUGAGGCAUCAAGCAUGAAGGAACUUUUCCACACUAGAAAGAAGAAUGCUGAUGAAAAUCAAGAGGCAUCUAAAUGUGUAAAAUGUAAUAAAAAGCAAAAAAUUAGGUAA
rnacentral:lncRNA from 1 species